UUGAACGCUGGCGGCAUGCCUUACACAUGCAAGUCGAACGGCAGCACGGGGGCAACCCUGGUGGCGAGUGGCGAACGGGUGAGUAAUACAUCGGAACGUGCCCUGAAGUGGGGGAUAACGUAGCGAAAGUUACGCUAAUACCGCAUAUUCUGUGAGCAGGAAAGCAGGGGAUCGCAAGACCUUGCGCUUUAGGAGCGGCCGAUGUCGGAUUAGCUAGUUGGUGAGGUAAAGGCUCACCAAGGCGACGAUCCGUAGCGGGUCUGAGAGGAUGAUCCGCCACACUGGGACUGAGACACGGCCCAGACUCCUACGGGAGGCAGCAGUGGGGAAUUUUGGACAAUGGGCGCAAGCCUGAUCCAGCCAUGCCGCGUGAGUGAAGAAGGCCUUCGGGUUGUAAAGCUCUUUCAGCCGGAACGAAACGGUACGCUCUAACAUAGCGUGCUAAUGACGGUACCGGCAGAAGAAGCACCGGCUAACUACGU
rnacentral:rRNA from 1 species